rnacentral:rRNA from 1 species
GAUGAACGCUAGCGGCAGGCCUAAUACAUGCAAGUCGAACGGGAUCCAGAUCAAAGCUUGCUUUGGUCUGGUGAGAGUGGCGCACGGGUGCGUAACGCGUGAGCAACCUACCCUUGUCAGGGGGAUAGCCCGGCGAAAGUCGGAUUAAUACCGCAUGACAUCAUUGAGAGGCAUCUUUCGAUGAUCAAAGAUUUAUCGGACAAGGAUGGGCUCGCGUGACAUUAGCUAGUUGGUAAGGUAACGGCUUACCAAGGCUGCGAUGUCUAGGGGCUCUGAGAGGAGAAUCCCCCACACUGGUACUGAGACACGGACCAGACUCCUACGGGAGGCAGCAGUAAGGAAUAGUGGUCAAUGGACGGAAGUCUGAACCAGCCAUGCCGCGUGCAGGAAGACGGCCCUAUGGGUGGUAAACUGCUUUUAUACGGGAACAAACGUCGGUACGUGUACCGGUCUGAGUGUACCGUAAGAAUAAGGAUCGGCUAACUCCGUG